rnacentral:rRNA from 1 species
AGUGGCAGACGGGUGAGGAACACGUGGGAACGUACCCUUCGGUUCGGAACAACUCUGGGAAACUAGGGCUAAUACUGGAUACGCGCGCGAGCGGAAAGGUUUACCGCCGAAGGAUCGGCCCGCGUCUGAUUAGCUAGUUGGCGAGGUAACGGCUCACCAAGGCGACGAUCAGUAGCUGGUCUGAGAGGAUGAUCAGCCACAUUGGGACUGAGACACGGCCCAAACUCCUACGGGAGGCAGCAGUGGGGAAUAUUGGACAAUGGGCGCAAGCCUGGCCCAGCCAUGCCGCGUGAGUGAUGACGGCCCUAGGGUUGUAAAGCUCUUUUACCCGGGAAGAUAAUGACGGUACCGGGAGAAUAAGCCCCGGCUAACUUCGUGCCAGCAGCCGCGGUAAUACGAAGGGGGCUAGCGUUGUUCGGAUUUACUGGGCGUAAAGCGCACGUAGGCGGAUCAUUAAGUCAGGGGUGAAAUCCCGAGGCUCAACCUCGGAACUGCCUUUGA